UGUGCAGUUGGAAAGGGGGCCGUUACACUGUAAGAGAGUGAGUAGUAGGUCUCACAGUGAACCGGUCUCUUUUCUUAUUGUUUC
rnacentral:pre_miRNA from 1 species